rnacentral:rRNA from 1 species
UACGAGGGGGGCAAGCGUUGCUCGGAAUGACUGGGCGUAAAGGGCGCGUAGGCGGAUGGCACAGUCAGAUGUGAAAUUCCCGGGCUUAACCUGGGGGCUGCAUUUGAUACGUGUUGUCUUGAGUUCGGAAGAGGGUCGUGGAAUUCCCAGUGUAGAGGUGAAAUUCGUAGAUAUUGGGAAGAACACCGGUGGCGAAGGCGGCGACCUGGUCCGACACUGACGCUGAGGCGCGAAAGCGUGGGGAGCAAACAGG